CAACCUCAAUUUGUUGGGGGCAGAUAAAGUGAAUAUGGCUAUCGAUGCCCCCUGCGGUGAGGAUCAUGCCUUCCCCGGCCAGGGCUUCGGUGCCGGGGCCAAUGACAAUAUCAAUCUUGUCUUGAAUAUAGGGAUUGCCAGCCUUGCCAAUCUUCACGAUCCGCCCUGCUUUAAUGCCGACAUCGGCUUUGACAAUGCCCCACCAAUCCAGAAUCAGGGCAUUGGUGAUCACCAAAUCCACCGCCCCUUCUCCAUUGGCAAUGGGGGACUGUCCCAUGCCAUCCCGG
rnacentral:sRNA from 1 species